rnacentral:rRNA from 1 species
AAGAGUUUGAUCCUGGCUCAGAUUGAACGCUGGCGGCAGGCCUAACACAUGCAAGUCGAGCGGAUGAAGGGAGCUUGCUCCUGGAUUCAGCGGCGGACGGGUGAGUAAUGCCUAGGAAUCUGCCUGGUAGUGGGGGAUAACGUCCGGAAACGGGCGCUAAUACCGCAUACGUCCUGAGGGAGAAAGUGGGGGAUCUUCGGACCUCACGCUAUCAGAUGAGCCUAGGUCGGAUUAGCUAGUUGGUGGGGUAAAGGCCUACCAAGGCGACGAUCCGUAACUGGUCUGAGAGGAUGAUCAGUCACACUGGAACUGAGACACGGUCCAGACUCCUACGGGAGGCAGCAGUGGGGAAUAUUGGACAAUGGGCGAAAGCCUGAUCCAGCCAUGCCGCGUGUGUGAAGAAGGUCUUCGGAUUGUAAAGCACUUUAAGUUGGGAGGAAGGGCAGUAAGUUAAUACCUUGCUGUUUUGACGUUACCAACAGAAUAAGCACCGGCUAACUUCGUGCCAGCAGCCGCGGUAAUACGAAGGGUGCAAGCGUUAAUCGGAAUUACUGGGCGUAAAGCGCGCGUAGGUGGUUCAGCAAGUUGGAUGUGAAAUCCCCGGGCUCAACCUGGGAACUGCAUCCAAAACUACUGAGCUAGAGUACGGUAGAGGGUGGUGGAAUUUCCUGUGUAGCGGUGAAAUGCGUAGAUAU